CCUACGGGAGGCACCAGUAGGGAAUCUUCGGCAAUGGACGAAAGUCUGACCGAGCAACGCCGCGUGAGUGAAGAAGGUUUUCGGAUCGUAAAACUCUGUUGUUAGAGAAGAACAAGGACGUUAGUAACUGAACGUCCCCUGACGGUAUCUAACCAGAAAGCCACGGCUAACUACGUGCCAGCAGCCGCGGUAAUACGUAGGUGGCAAGCGUUGUCCGGAUUUAUUGGGCGUAAAGCGAGCGCAGGCGGUUUCUUAAGUCUGAUGUGGAAGCCCCCGGCUCAACCGGGGAGGGUCAUUGGAAACUGGGAGACUUGAGUACAGAAGAGGAGAGUGGAAUUCCAUGUGUAGCGGUGAAAUGCGUGGAUAUAUGGAGGAACACCAGCGGCGAAGGCGGCUCUCUGGUCUGUAACUGACGCUGAGGCUCGAAAGCGUGGGGAGCAAACAGGAUUAGAUACCCGGGUAGUC
rnacentral:rRNA from 1 species